rnacentral:rRNA from 1 species
CACGAACCGGUCGAACGUUAUUCGGAAUCACUGGGCUUAAAGAGUGCGUAGGCGGUCUAGCAGGUGAGGUGUGAAAUCCCCCGGCCCAACCGGGGAACUGCGCUUCAAACCGUUAGACUUGAGGGAGACAGAGGUGAGCGGAACUGAUGGUGGAGCGGUGAAAUGCGUUGAUAUCAUCAGGAACACCUGUGGCGAAAGCGGCUCACUGGGUCUCUUCUGACGCUGAGGCACGAAAGCUAGGGUAGCGAACAGG